GGCGUGCGCGACUAGGCGUGUGUGUGUGUCCACGCGUUCGAGCGCAUGGGCCGUUGAGUGUAGGCGAGAUACUAGGAGGGGUGACCGCGUCAGGCGCUGAACUCGGGAUCACGGCGACUGCGUUCGUGCGCGUCGGGCGCGUGAUCCAGGGAGCGCGGGACGUGGGAGGAGUGCGUGGGAGCGUGGCUCGGUGCGUGUGUGCGUGCGGGUAUAAGAGCCAGCCCCUGCUCCCGUUGUAGCUCGCCGGGAUCGAGUUCGUGCUCGAGGAGAAAGAAAAGGCCGUUGGUGCGGCCGGGGGCGCCCGUGCGCCGGCAAAAACCACCUGUGCUUGCUGUCUCCUUCUUCUUCCUCCUUCUUCUCUGUAGGUUCGGGCCACAGCGAGAGAGAGGGAACAGAGAGAGCGAGGAGAGCUAGAGCUAGCUAGGGUUCAGAGGGGUUUUGCGCCAUCAAUUGGCAUCAGAGCUUCAGGUUCGGGAGGUCACCGGCGGCAAUGGCGCUGGUUCCACGCGGCGGCGGCACGGGUGGGUCGGUGUCCAUGGGGAUGCCGAUGCUCUCGUCGGACGGCUACACUGUGUGGGCAAUCAAGGCGCAGGCCAUUCUUGAUGCCCACACACUGUGGGAAGAGGUGGCGCCGGGCGACUCGCCGGUGAACAACAAGAAGUGCAAGACGGCGAGGGCACUGAUCUUGCAGGGGCUGCCGGAGGACGUGUUGCUCUCGGUGGCGACGAAGACCACUGCCAGGGAGGUAUGGGACUCCUUGUCGGUGCGAUUCGUCGGCGCCGAGCGGGUGCGCGCGGCGAGAAGGGCGACACUGCACAGCGAGCUGGACCGGACGAGGAUGGAGGACGGCGAGGCGCUGGACGCGUACGCUGGGAGGCUCGCGGGCAUGGUGGCACGAUUCGCAGGGCUGGGGGAGACAUUGGCGGACACGGAGCUGGUGAAGAAGCUCCUGGACACGGUCCCGGACCGUCUCUUUCCCGUCGUCGCCGGCAUCGAACAGUUCUGUGUCCUGAAGGAGCUCACAUACGACGAGGUGCUCGGACGGCUGCGCGCGUUCGACGAGCAUGUGCGGCGCCGUGGGCAGAGCAGCGGCGAGCGGGAGGACGGCAAGCUCCUGUACACUGCGGCCCAGUGGCGGGCACGGGAGUGACGUCAAGGGGGAGCUCGGGACGAGGACGACGACGCGCGCAGCGUGGCGACGCGGGACAGCGGCAACAGACGUGGCCGCUGCUACAAGUGCGGUGAGCGCGGCCACUUCAAGCGCGACUGCCCGGAGCUGCGAAAGGCACCGGCGGCGGAGCGGGCACUGCUGGCGGACGCCGACGUCGAGGACAACGGCCUCCUCUAGGCCAGGGCUUAGGGGGAGAGUGUUGGGCAAUAAAGCCGUGGCGAGUCCGGGACGCGGUGCGCGCCUGCGUGCGCGCGGUGAACGCGUCGGGCUCGGCCCGUGGCAGCCUGGGUCGCGUGCGUGCGCGACUAGGCGUGUGUGUGUGUCCACGCGUUCGAGCGCAUGGGCCGUUGAGUGUAGGCGAGAUACUAGGAGGGGUGACCGCGUCAGCCGCUGAACUCGAGAUCACGGCGACUGCGUUCGUGCGCGUCGGGCGCGUGAUCCAGGGAGCGCGGGACGUGGGAGAAGUGCGUGGGAGCGUGGCUCGGCGCGUGUGUGCGUGCGGGUAUAAGAGCCAGCCCCUGCUCCCGUUGUAGCUCGCCGGGAUCGAGUUCGUGCUCGAGGAGAAAGAAAAGGCCAUACGUGCGGCCGGGGGCGUCCGUGCGCCGGCAAAAACCACCUGUGCUUGCUGUCUCCUUCUUCUUCCUCCUUCUCUGUAGGUUCGGGCCACAGCGAGAGAGAGGGAACAGAGAGAGCGAGGAGAGCUAGAGCUAGCUAGGGUUCAGAGGGGUUUUGCGCCAUCACAGG
rnacentral:lncRNA from 1 species